ACUAAUGGAAGGUGGUAGCAAGUAAACUGGAUAAGGAUAUGACGCGUCUUAUGCAUCAAGAAUACGCGUGGAGGAGGACUUCGUCAUUUGAACAAGCUACCACAAGAACCUCCUCUCCACUCUUCAUAUUCUGUAGUUGUGAUUAGGCUCUCUCCCCUCUCCUCUCCUCUCCUCUCCUCUCGUAGCCUUGUUCGGGUUCUGUUGCAGAGCUCAGGGUGACAUAAAAUCAUAAGAGCCUAAAGAAGCCUGAAAAUGGGUUACAUUGUGGUGAUAUCACUGCCUGUGAUACUGUUCAUCUUGAUUGUAGCAUUAGCAUUUUACCUUCUUGGAAGGGCACAGGGCCGAAGCCUAGCAGCAAGAGUUCCGCAUUAUGGGCCUCCAGCACCUCCAUUCCAAGCCCCGUCUCCACCUCAGGAUAAAUCAGCACAGGUUUAGAAUUAUGGUUCUUAUCAUGUGGCUGUGAAAAUUUGGGUGGUGGAAGUACAGCUCUCUCUAGUUGCAUUUUUGUGCUCAGAAUGGUUCUUAUGUGUAUGUGUAAUGUCUAUUGCAAGAUGAAAAUAAGGGUGACAAGAA